CGGUUAAAAGAGAAUUGGUCGCAAGGCCUCUUUUCGAAGUAUUAAGCGGAUCCAUUUUAUGGAACCGUGACUCUCCCCGAAGACAGUGUCAAGCGGGGAGUUUGACUGGGGCGGUACAUCUAUCAAAUCGUAACGUAGGUGUCCUAAGGCGAGCUCAGAGAGGACGGAAACCUCUCGUAGAGCAAAAGGGCAAAAGCUUGCUUGAUCUUGACUUUCAGUACGAGUACAGACCGCGAAAGCGUGGCCUAUCGAUCCUUUUAAUUUUCCAGAUUGUUUCUGGUAAGAGGUGUCAGAAAAGUUACCACAGGGAUAACUGGCUUGUGGCAGCCAAGCGUCCAUAGCGACGUUGCUUUUUGAUCCUUCGAUGUCGGCUCUUCCUAUCAUUGCGAAGCAGAAUUCGCCAAGCGUUGGAUUGUUCACCCACUAAUAGGGGAACGUGAGCUGGGUUUUAGACCGUCGUGAGACAGGUUUAGUUUUACCCUACUGUUGACUUGUUAUUGCGAAAGUAAUCCUGCUUAGUACGAGAGGAACAGCGGGUUCAAACAUUUGGUUCAUGGACUUGGUCGACAGGCCAAUGGCCGAAGCUACCAUUUGAGAGAUUAUAACUGAACGCCUCUAAGUUAGAAUCUCGCCUUGUCAAGGCGAAAAUUUCUUGCUUCCCGGUGUCGGGAGGCAUCUCUAUCUCGUGGCAACACGAGAGCUUAUGCCCUAUGUAUGGCCUUGGCGUCGUAGUGAAUUCUGCGGCGCUUGCCAACGCCAGAUCACUCUGGUUCAAUGUCGGGGCGCUAAAUCACUUGCAUACGACUUGGUCUCUUGGUCAAGGUGUUGUAUUCAGUAGAGCAGUCUCUUUAUACUGCGAUCUGUUGAGACUAUCCUCUGAUUGAGUUUUUUGU
rnacentral:ncRNA from 1 species